GGCGAUCAGAUACCGCCCUAGUUCUGACCGUAAACGAUGCCAACUAUCAAUCAGACAGUAGCUUUUGUUACUGUCUGGAGGAUCGACGGAAACGAAAGUUUUUCGGUUCCGGGGGAAGUAUGGUUGCAAAGCUGAAACUUAAAGGAAUUGACGGAAGGGCACCACCAGGAGUGGAGCUUGCGGCUUAAUUUGACUCAACACGGGAAAUCUCACCCGGCCAGUACAUCAGAAGGAUUGACAGAUUGAAAGCUCUUUCAUGAUUUGAUGAAUGGUGGUGCAUGGCCGUUCUUAGUUCGUGGUGUGAACUGUCUGCUUAAUUGCGAUAACGAGCGAGACUCCGACUGUUAAAUAGUGAAGGCUUUUUCUUGAGCCCAUCGCUUCUUAACGGGAUUCGCGACUUCAAGUCGCAAGAAAUGGAGCAAUAACAGGUCUGUGAUGCCCUUAGAUGUCCGGGGCAGCACGCGUGCUACAAUGAUGGUAACAGCGUGAUUGUCCUCGCCCGACAGGGCUUGGCAAACAGUUGAGAUAUUAUUAUGGCUGGAAUUGAGUGUUGAAAUUUUCUCUCAUGAACGAGGAAUUCCAAGUAAAUGCGAGUCAUCAACUUGCAUUGAUUACGUCCCUGCCCUUUGUA
rnacentral:rRNA from 1 species